GCUGUCGUCAGCUCGUGUUGUGAAAUGUUGGGUUAAGUCCCGCAACGAGCGCAACCCUUAUCCUUUGUUGCCAGCGGUCCGGCCGGGAACUCAAAGGAGACUGCCAGUGAUAAACUGGAGGAAGGUGGGGAUGACGUCAAGUCAUCAUGGCCCUUACGACCAGGGCUACACACGUGCUACAAUGGCGCAUACAAAGAGAAGCGACCUCGCGAGAGCAAGCGGACCUCAUAAAGUGCGUCGUAGUCCGGACUGGAGUCUGCAACUCGACUCCAUGAAGUCGGAAUCGCUAGUAAUCGUGGAUCAGAAUGCCACGGUGAAUACGUUCCCGGGCCUUGUACACACCGCCCGUCACACCAUGGGAGUGGGUUGCAAAAGAAGUAGGUAGCUUAACCUUCGGGAGGGCGCUUACCACUUUGUGAUUCAUGACUGGGGUGAAGUCGUAACAAGGUAACCGUAGGGGAACCUGCGGUUGGA
rnacentral:rRNA from 6 species